CCUACGGGUGGCAGCAGUGAGGAAUAUUGGUCAAUGGACGAGAGUCUGAACCAGCCAAGUAGCGUGAAGGAUGACUGCCCUAUGGGUUGUAAACUUCUUUUAUAUGGGAAUAAAAUGUUCCACGUGUGGGAUUUUGUAUGUACCAUAUGAAUAAGGAUCGGCUAACUCCGUGCCAGCAGCCGCGGUAAUACGGAGGAUCCGAGCGUUAUCCGGAUUUAUUGGGUUUAAAGGGAGCGUAGGUGGAUUGUUAAGUCAGUUGUGAAAGUUUGCGGCUCAACCGUAAAAUUGCAGUUGAAACUGGCAGUCUUGAGUACAGUAGAGGUGGGCGGAAUUCGUGGUGUAGCGGUGAAAUGCUUAGAUAUCACGAAGAACUCCAAGUGCGAAGGCAGUUCACUGGACUGCAACUGACACUGAGGCUCGAAAGUGUGGGUAUCAAACAGGAUUAGAUACCCCAGUAGUC
rnacentral:rRNA from 1 species